UACGUAGGGUGCGAGCGUUAAUCGGAAUUACUGGGCGUAAAGCGUGCGCAGGCGGUUCGUGAUGUCUGGUGUGAAAGCCCCGGGCUUAACCUGGGAAUUGCAUUGGAAACUAGCGGGCUGGAGUGUGGCAGAGGGGGGUGGAAUUCCUGGUGUAGCAGUGAAAUGCGUAGAUAUCAGGAGGAAUACCGAUGGCGAAGGCAGGUCUCUGGGCUGACACUGACGCUCAUGCACGAAAGCGUGGGGAGCAAACAGG
rnacentral:rRNA from 1 species